AUUGAAUUGAACAUUUUAAAUGAUCGAAUUAAGUUUGGUCACUACCGGAAAUGGUAUAUUUGAAUCAAAUGGCGCCAGGAAGUGUAGGUGGCACUUCCCGGGCACUGACACCAACCGUUUAUAUACUGUCUAUCUAUGCUGCCAACACAGCCAAACUGUUUCAACAAGGACAUCGCCAAAACAAGAAGAAUGUUGAGUAUGUGUUGGCUGCGUGCAGGAUUAAUUCUACAGCAGCCAUGUGUUGUCUUCUUCACAAAAAAGAUCCUAUUUGAACAGCAUACACAAUCAAAUGCUUUAUAGUGGGCAUGGAUGAAGACGCCAUCAACGAGGCCACUGAAGAAACCAGUGUUGGGAUUUAUGUUCUUAAAGAACAUGCUUCAAGUGAUGAACCAGGGGACAUUGGUAUUGUCCUUGAAGGCAUCAAGAUGUUGCAAGAUCUUUAUAAUGUAGCAUUACCUGUUGCUACGCUGUUUGGACUAAUGUACAGUAUGCCCUGAACUUCAGCUACCCUGCUUGCCUUUGAUCCAAAAGAUUUGCAUGGAACUUGAGGAGGGAAACUUACCAACAAAGCACUUGCUCUAAAAAAC